GCAGACGUGGCUGAGUGGUUAAGGCGUCUGACUAGAAUUCACAUACCUGCUAGGAGCCUAAGUUGAAAUCCUGCCGACUGCG